rnacentral:lncRNA from 1 species
AAGUUCUACAACAACUCUGGCAGCUUGGCUUGCAUGUUCUCCAAACUCAGCCGCUGCUUGAGCAGCUGAGAUAGCAUCCUUAAAUUUCAUGUUCCAAUACUGCCUACCAACUGAAAAAUUACCAUUACCAUCUCAAGGAUAUGAUUGCCCAUGUUCCAACCUUUAAUCAUUGAAAACUAAGUGGCAUGAACCACCAUCAUCAACACAAUAUUGCCUUCAAAGUUCUACAAUAGCUCUGGGAGCUAGGCUUGCGUGUUCUACAAACUCAAUCGCUACUUGAGCAGCAGAGGUACCAUCGUUAAAUUUCAUGUUCCAAUACUGCCUACCAAACAAAAAAAUUACCAUUACCAUCUCAAGGAAAUGAUUGCCCAUGUUCCAAUCUUUAUCCUUGAAACUUAAGUGGGAUGAACCACCAUCAUCAACAUAAUAUUACCUUGAAAGUUCUACAACAGCUCUGGCAGCAAGGCUUGCAUGUUCUACAAACUCAGUCGCUACUUGAGCAAUAGAGGUAGCAUCCAUAAAUUUUAUGUUCCAAUUCUGCCUGCCAACAGAAAAAUUACCGUUACCAUCUCAAGGAAAUGAUUUCCCAUGUUCCAACCUUUCAUCCUUGAAACAUAAUUGGCAUGAAACACCAUCAUCAACACAAUAAUACCUUGAAAGUUCUCCAACAUCUCUGGCAGCUAGUCUUGCAUGUUCUGCAAACUCAGAGGCUACUUGAGCAGCAGAGGUCGCAUCCUUAAAUUUCAUGUUCCAAUUAUGCCUGCCAAUAGAAAAAUUACCAUUACCAUCUCC